rnacentral:pre_miRNA from 1 species
AAUGUUUGAUGCCGUUGACUUUUUAGCACAUGUUUGACCGUUCGUCUUAUUCAAAAAUCUAAGUAAUUAUUAAUUCUUUUCCUAUCAUUUGAUUCAUUGUUAAAUAUAUUUUUAUAUAGACAUAUAAUUUCACAUAUUUCAAAAAAGUUUUUGAAUAAGACGAAUGGUCAAACAUGUGCUCCCAAGUCAACGGUGUCAAACAUU